CAAGAAGAGACCCUAACCGGUCCCCUCAACCCUGCCCAUCGUACCUUUUUUGUUGUUCCCUCGGCGGUGGCUCGCGGGCCCGCCCGCCGGCGCGGGAAGUACCAAACAAACCCUUGCCAAACAAGCAUAUCGAAUCUCUGAUCAACAUGAAUUGUCA
rnacentral:misc_RNA from 1 species